CAACUUGUUCGGUACACUCUGAGAAAGGUUACGGGUUCCAAAAGGGUUCUUUGGCUGUCAUCAAAGGAGAGAACUUUUUGGUUCGAGGUAGAACCCUCUGUGGAAUGGAGCCCAAAAUGGUUCUACCUAGACACAGAAGGGGUUCUCCUUGGAACCAAAAAGGGUUCUCCUAUGGGGACAGCAGAAUAAUCCAAUUAGUUUGUAGAUAGUACCUUUUUAUCUGAGUGUAGGCCUAUAUUGCAGUCGUGGUUCUGUGGAUAUCUGUGAAAAAUAAAGUUAAUUGGUGGUGGCGAGUUAAGAUAAUCAGAAAUACUAUUAAAUAUCCCCACUUUUAGCACACAUUUGCAAGCAGGCAAAGUAGCCUGUGUGUGCUGAGGCACGUGUGAUCACUCAACACUGACAGGACCAACAAAAAAUACAUGCUUGGGACUCCCGAGUGGCGCAGCUAUCACGGUACCGUGUAAAAAAAAAACUGCACUGUUGGUUAAGGGCUUGCAAGUAGGCAUUUCACGGUAAGGUCUACACUUGUAUUCGGCGCAUGUGACAAAUAAAGUUUGAUUAGAUUCGAAAUACCUAAUCCUGGCUACUAAUGUUCUAGCAUUAAUUUACUGAGGCAAGAAGAUCAGAGAUGUCAAGGUGGUACUCAAUCAUAUGCCAUGUGUUUGUGACACACAUGUAUGGUGAUAUUUUGAAGUUUUAUUUGGUUUAUUUUGCCUCCCAGGUAUUUGCAUUUAAUGUAUGUAUAUAAUUACUGCUGCUAGGGGAGCUGUGACGCCAAUGAAGUGAGUUAGAGAGAUAUUUAACAUUUCUUCUUCAUUAUGGAGAAUGACUAGUUCUGAAAACUAAUGUUUCUCCAUCUUAUCAUUUUACCCUAUUAAUUUAGGUAUGUAAUGUGCGAAAAUGCAAUAUGACUCAAAAUAUUGAGGUAACAUGGUUAAUUACAUAGUCUGUGAGUUUGAUGAUGUUUGAAGGCAGUUUUAACUGACUGAAAAACUGGUUGGUAUUUUCCCCCAUUGUAAGUAAGCUAAUGGAGUUAGGCUAGAUUGCUAAUGGUUUACAUGAACAAGAAAGGAUCAACAUGGCGUCCAAACUUUCUGUAAAUGUUUUCUCAACGUUUUAGAUGCAAUUUGUUUUAUUUUCUAUGAACAAAGACUCAGUUUACUUUAGGUAAUAUAUGUAAAUAUGCGAUGUCACGAUAAAAUGUAUUAAAAAAAUUUUUUAACAGUUCGCUAGCUUGAUGCUAACCAAAUUUAGCUUGGCUAAGAGCUAUAGUAGUUACCUUUAGCCUAGUUGGUUUUAGUCCAUGUCAGCUUAAUGUAUUAAUGUAAUGGUUGUAGCAUUGUUUUGCAUAGGCGUUUUAUAGGAGUUUUUUCUCUCCGAAAUUGACACUGAUAGUACAGUCCUCGUUUGGAUGAACGGACCAACGGGACUACCAUGGGCAAAGUCCCUUGACGGGUACCGGGAAUGGUGGAAUGACAAUCUGAUGGUAAUUAUCUUUGCAGACAACACAGCAGUGUCCAGGCCUCCAGAGUAUUCACUCUAUCGCCUGCUAUAUGGAGGGGAGCCACAGCAGUGAACUGAUGUGAACAAUGCAACUGUGUAUAUAACAUUAUUGUGUAUACAUUUUUGGGGAUUGACUUAGAGUUUUUCAUUUGCUGUUUUUGUAUAACAUACUUUGUGGUGGAAGUUGUGAAACCAGAUCAGAACGCCUUCGAAGACCACCUUCAGGCACGGACUGAGAAGGAUGUGGAGGUUUUUGACCAGUCAAGGUGAGACUGAACAUGGACUGGGCACAUGAGAAAAAGGAGAGCCACCUGAGAAGAAUCAAGGGGACCAAGUGCUUCGACAUCUGGGCGAAUUACUUGGCUUGGAAGAAGGACGAAAGGAAGGCGAGACCCAGGAAAGCUUGGUGCUCUUUCGCUCCUAGCCGGGGUCAACAUCCAUUAAGGGACCAUCCCUUACCAACCCCACUGACAUCAACAAUUAGACAGGACCUAGGGAUUCUGCCUAACACCCAGACAUGGAUCCAUUACCAACCACCCUCCAACUUUUCAUUACAUCAGCUACUGUUAUUGUCAAGUUGUCAUUAUCCGCUAAGAAAGAGCAAGACAACUAUCAUACUGGGCACAUAAUGUGGGCUGCACCGAUUUGCUAAAAACACUAGCACUGCAAACACUCAGAACAAAGAGGUCAGCAGCGCCUGGACUUUGCAGUUUCCCUCUUGAGUCCACAACAUGUUGAAAAACAAGUGAGGACGCAGAUGCAGAACCUCCUAUCCACACAAGACUCACCUCCUCUCUAUUCCACACACCAUAAUUCUGUAUUUCAGUCUGAUUGCCAUGUGAGUGUACAAAAGAAAUCAGAAAGUAAAUUAACACACACGUACCCAAAAAAUAUCAAUGGUUGUGUAUUUAAAUCAAAAAUAUUGCUAGAUUGGUUUUCACAAGGUGUUUGUUAUUGUAAAUUGUAACGUAUCCCUUGAUGGUAUUUGUUAGUUCAACAUUAUUAAUUGUAUUAUAAGACUUACAAUAGAUAUAUAUUCAACCACAAGGGUGUACUAAUGUGCUAUGAUUUUUUUAAAUCAUAAUUGAGGACUACAAUUAUUUCAGUGUAGGUAAGGGAAUGCCUAUUUAAAAUGAAAACAUGCCAGCCAGACAAGCAAGUGUAUGAAUCAAAUGUAUUUGCAUAUGAAUGAGUGGAAAUCAGUUAACUUUGUGAUCUGUAAGGUAAAUAACUGUGUGCGUGGGGGGGGGGCAUUGAAAUUAUAUUAUGUUUAUUUUGAUGCCUGUUUAUUCAUAAAAAGCAGAAGAUGGUAAAUAACAUUAAUCACAAUGGUAAGCCUAUACAAAUUAAUAGGAAUACAUUUGGCCGAAUUGGUAAUAUGAUGUGGGGGAAAGUCGGGACCCUAGUCAGGCUUUUGUUUGUCAACUCCAGAUUAAAUAUAGGUCUUCAUGUGUAGGAAACUGUGGGCUAAAUCAAUGAAAAACAGCUUAAAUGUUCAGGCUUCAUCAUGAUCUGUGAUCAAAACAGGCUGGGGUGUUUUUGGUUCCGUUUAGUCUAAAGAUAUGCGUAAGAAAGCAACUGCACUGAAAUGAAUAGCCUGAUUCAAUGGGAUUCUCCUGAAUAAUAAAUGUUUUUAUCUGUUAAACUGUUUGGUCCAUGCAUAGAUCCAUACCAAUUCUAACUUUUUGUUAUUUUGCAUUAGGUAUAGCUCUACAUUGCAGAGCAUUUAAUAAACCAACCACAUUUUCCUGGGAUGUUAAGGCUGCGCAAGACCUUCGAUAGGCUAGUAGACUGUGGAAAUAAUCUGGAGUUUAUCAUUGUUGUAGCCUAAAUCGCUUUAUAAAAUCUGGACUUGCUUUCCCUAUGGCUAAGCAAACAAGUGGUAGCACAUUCUUUUGCACGUCUCUAUAACAAGGCCUAUAUCCUCACAUAAACCCCUCAAUUUGAA